UCUCACAAAGUGUUGAUUGCAUAAAUCUCUGCUGUGCUGUACAGAUGGGUAGACCGAGGCUGGGUAGGUGGCAUGACCUCCUCCGCUGUUGGGUGACAGAGGUGGGAACCUAACCCUAGCAGUCCAGCUUCAGUCUGAGGUCCAGCCUCUACUCUGCCACACUGUUCUCCAUCCUACCUAUCCUAAGCAACUAAGGCCUGCUCCCUCAGAGACUUCUGAGUCAUGUACCUGGGUAUGGAUCUGACAUGGCUGCCCUGUCCCCACCCCAGGCUUGCUUGCCUCAUCUGUCAAGUGGACCCACAGUCGCCCCCUUGCAGAGCUGUGGUUAGGUGACAGUGUGAAAGCCACUGCCAGCCUCAGCAUAUGCUCAAUCAGGUCUUGCCUGGGUCACCUCUGCUUCCUGGCUCCAGGGGCUUGCUGCCCCCAUGCUCUGCCCACACUUGUCCAGUCUCCUCUACCCACCUGUCUUCCGUAGGACCAUGGAGGUGACUGCAGGCCUGAGCAUGGUAAAGGGAACAGAAGGCUUCUGGAAGACCAUGGAGCUCGUUAUCUUCUUGAUCUUUGGGGAAUAUUUCUUAAGUAGGACAUUAAAAACAAAGAAAUAAAGGGAAAUAUGGAUCAA